UGAAUUUUACAGUGUACUUUCCUCACAAU
rnacentral:piRNA from 1 species